AGUUCCCUGGAGUCAUGGAUCCUGGAUUUUGGACACAUUUUAUAGUCUAUUUAAGGUGUUCUUGGAUCAGGUACAGAAGGCAGUUCCUCUUCCUCAUCACUGACCAGCUGCAACUGCAUGCUUUUACCACCUGAAGCGUCACAGCUGCCCUGCUGCAGUUGUGCUUCAGCCAAAUCCCUCUCAGACGGCUGUUUGGAGCCACUGACCAACUCCCUUCCAGACAUACCUGGAACUGUUUCAUCCUCCUCUAAAAUGACAUCUGGAGAAGCACCUGGGCAAGUGUCCGGGGGAGUCAUCACACUUGGAUAGGAAAGAGAAAGGAAAGAGAAACACAUGAACAUGUGCCUGAUAUUAUGAUAACAACUUUUUACAUCCUAUUUUCUGAGAAUCCCCAUCUGUCAAAUGUUAUUGUAUGGUACAUCUUUAAAGCUUUCCCAAGCCAUCUUGUACUCUAAAUUCCCCACAGCAAUGAAUCAUGAAAAGGCUGUACUGUUUUUGUGCCUUAUUAAUUAAAACAUUUACAGCUUGAGCUGUAUUUAUUUUUGACUAACAAAUGCUCUGCAAACUGUUAGUAUCUCAUCAGUCAGAAAAGAAGGCAGAAGGCAGCUGGGCUUCACUUUGGGAAUGAUCUUUGGAGAAGCAGGCCAAAAAGCCCUCAUGAAAGGAACAGGAGUGCAGCAACAAUACUCCCAGGCAAUUUACCAUCUCAACUGAACACAAGCAACACAACUAUUUGAUGUGCCUAAAGACCUAAAAGUGGUACACAAGAUAAUAACUACAAAAAAAAUACUGUUCCAAAAGCA